GGCCUAAAGGUUGCAGCGAGGUAGCUGGACGACUAAGCUAAGUGUAGCCCCACUUAUCAGGGCGGGGGGAUUUCCUAGUUCAGUUGGAGUGCCUCCACCCAAGCUGGUACACCCCGGCUUGCUUGGGGCACUCCUCGGCCUAUCUCCCAGAAUACAGAAGACCAACCACGGUAGGGCACUCCUCGGCCUAUCUCCCAGAAUACAGAAGACCAACCACGGUAGCGUUUAUUAUUUUGAGUUUACACUGGGGCUGAGCCCCUGGAUGGACGGACAGAACACCCCCUGGACUGAUACCGCAGAGCUGACAGAGCACCCCUGGACUGAUAUAGCAGAGCUCACAGAGCACCCUUGGACUGAUACAGCAGAGCUCACAGAGCACCCCUGGACUGAUACAGCAGAGCUCACAGAGCACCCCUAGACUGAUACAGCAGAGCUCACAGAGCACCCCUGGACAGAUACAGCAGAGCUUACAGAGCACCCCUGGACUGAUACAGCAGAGCACACAGAGCACACCUUGACUGAUACAGCAGAGCUCACAGAGCACCCCUAGACUGAUACAGCAGAGCUCACAGAGCACCCUUGGACUGAUACAGCAUAGCUGAAGAGCACCCCUGGACUGAUACAGCAGAGCACACAGAGCACCCUUGGACUGAAACAGCAGAGCUCACAGAGCAUCCCUGGACUGAUACAGCAGAGCUGAAAGAGCACCCCUGCACUGAUAUAGCAGAGCUCACAGAGCACCCUUGGACUGAUACAGCAUAGCUGAAGAGCACCCCUGGACUGAUACAGCAGAGCACACAGAGCACCCUUGGACUGAAACAGCAGAGCUCACAGAGCAUCCCUGGACUGAUACAACAGAGCUGAAAAAGCACCCCUGGACUGAUACAGCAGAGCUGAAAGAGCACCUUUGGCCUUGUACAGCAGAGCUCACAGAGCACCCCUGGACUGAUACAGCAGAGCUGAAAGAUUACUUCUGGACUGAUACAGCAGAGCUCACAGAGCACCCCUGGACUGAUACAGCAGAGCUCACAGAGCACCCCUGGACUGAUACAGCAGAGCUCACAGAGCACCCCUGGACUGAUACACCCCAUGCCAAAUAUACACAGUACUGACGGACACCUCCAUCCAGUACACUCUCCACUGCCAGAGUGAAGAUAGCGCCGAUCACGGGGACCUUUAUAGAAUCCAAAAUCGCAAAAAUCCAACAGUGGGAUUAUGACAUUUGGCCUCUCUUUGGGAUCUGAGUCUGAUGGGAAAACCGGAAAACCCGAGCCGAACUCGGAUCCUGGGUCAGAACUCAAUGUUUGAGUGGGUCCAGUUCUCAGAAAACCAGACCCGCUCAUCUCUUAUAUAUAUAUAUAUAUAUAUAUAUAUAUAUAGAUAUAUAUAGAUAUAGAUAUAUAUUUAUAUAUAUAUAUUUAUACAUACACACACACACACACACACAUGACUUUGGACUAUAGGGACUUUAGGAAAAGGGGUGAAAACUGUUCAAUUUACAUUUUAAACUGCAUCAACAUUAUAUAUAGUACAUAUUCCUAACAGAUGAGUAAUUUUAUUUUAAUAGUAAGAAUCAAUAUUCCUUUGAACUUGCAUUGUAAUGUCACAUAACACUAAGUAUUUUAUGCAAAUAUAGACAAGUUUUGAUGUUAAUGUAAACUAAAUAAAAAACCACACUAAAAUAUCCUGUAAAAAGUUUUAAAUAAUCAAAAUGAACUUUGUCACAAUAGUCGAAACACAGUAGUAAACUAAAGAGACUUUUUAUGAAUGGAUAUGUGUACAUUCCUGGAAUUCCAUCUGAUUUUGUAUUUCAGCUCAUAUCCACAUGUGUCAGUCAGGAGAACUAGCAUAACCCCCAGAAGGGGAUUCUUUUACAUUUGUCUUGCUUUAUGAAUAUGGGAAUAUGGGAUCCUUUACAAACGAUGACAAAUUAAAAGCGGAAAUAUUGAACAAUUUUUUUUCGUCAGUAUUCACAAGGGAGGAUGCACAGGUGACA